rnacentral:lncRNA from 1 species
AUGAAGCCCAACAUUUCUGAGUCAGUUACUCAGGAGUUAUCACCGGAGCCUAGUGAAGAAAGGAAAAGCUUUUAUGGAACUUUAUCACAGGAUAUAACUAGUCAAGAAAUCUGCUUGGCCCACUACAAUAUUCAAAACUCCUUUGAGGAACUUGAAGAAAAGCUGGAACACACAGCUAUUUUCUUCCCUUAUUCUACCAGAUCCAGAUCCUGAUGGAUAGAAUGCCCUAACUCAUUGUGAAUGUCUGGUCAUUAGAUAUUUGCAUCACAAAAAGUCUGGAAGCUAUAGUUAACCUGGAAAAGCAUAGCUCUGAACUGGAAACAGAGAGAACCUACAGCAAAAUGUAAAUGUGAACUCAUCUUAGUGAAGAGGUGAAGCACUGUUUUGUAAAGAAAAGCACGCAGCAGCCCCUGGAGCCAUGGCCCUGUUGAUUAAGGCACUAGCUGAACUUUCUUUGUAGCAAGGUCUGUAGGUGCUUUUAAUUUAAAUAUAAUAAAAGGAAAUUAGGCAGUUAUCA